AUGACACCAACGGUCCUCAUGGAGUACAGGCCGCAGAUGCAGAUUAAACGGGGCUACGACGAAAUAGCUUACCGGGGCGGCGCGGGGUAUGCAGAGACUGUAGGUGAGUCGGGCAGCCCUGUUCGUGUUGACUCCGAAGAUUCCUCUGCGCCAAAACGCAAGUGCAUCAGCCUUAAUAGCGAUGGCUUUGAUGUGAAGCGAGAGAUCUUUGUCCCGUCUAAGUUGUCGUCGUCCGAGCGGCGCUACCUUCGAAAGAGAUUCCGGGCAGAGCUUGAUUCUGUCCGAUAUCUCCUCAAGAGGCCAGAGUUUUUGGCCAUCAUGCCUGUCACCCGAGCACCUGGUUUCUCAUCGUCAGCUGCCCCACGAGCUAAAAAAGUGCAACGGGGGAGCCAUGUUCUCCGUGGUGCCAAGGGACGCUUCUUGCCGACAAAACCCCGUCCUGAAACGUCUACAGUGUUGCCUGAAGCUACAAUUCAGAAGCAGUGCGAAGCUAUUCUGAAGAAGCUGAUGACUCAGAAAUUUAGUCAUAUUUUUAAUGUUCCAGUAGAUGUGGAAAAGCUGAAUAUUCCAGAUUAUAAUGAAAUUAUCAAGCACCCGAUGGACCUUGGGACCAUCAAGAAGAAGCUAGAUUCUGGUUCCUACACAAGUCCUUUUGAUUUUGCAGCUGAUGUCAGGCUGACCUUUAACAACGCGAUAACGUAUAAUCCCCGAGGGCAUGCAGUGCAUGAUAUGGCCAUUCAACUGAAUAAAAUGUUUGAGUCCAGAUGGAAAACAGUGGAGAAGAAGUUAGUUUCUGCCGCCACUAAGCCACAUGUUGAGGUUGAUAGGGCUGACUCAAAGAGGAGAAAGACCCCUCCUGUGGACCGCAGUGACCUGUCAAUAGAUUGUGUCAGGCCAACUGAGAUUGUGAAGCUGAAGAUGACAUUUGAGGAGAAAGAAUCCUUCGGAAACUGCUUAGCUUCUUUGUCCGAGGAUCCAGAAUUACCUGGUCACAUCAUUGAUAUGUUACAGCAGUGUAUUGACAACAAUACAGAUCAGCUUGGGGAUGAAGAGAUAGAGAUUGAUAUCCAUGCACUCAGUGAUGACAUACUAUUAGAAUUGAAGAAGCAUGUGGACAAGUACUUGCAAGAGAGAGAUCACCAGCAGACAAAAUCUGAGCCUUCCGAGAAUGAGGCUGUGAAUGUUUCUGGCCUCAGUCAUUCGUCCACAAAUCCCUGCAAAGGUGGUGAGCCUGUUGAGGAGGAUGUGGACAUUUGCGGCAAUGCAUCCCCUAUAUUGAUAGAGAAGGAUCCACAGAUCAGAACAAGCAAAUGUGGUAGUCCAAGUAGUUCCAGCAGUGGCUCGGGAUCUUCAUCCAGUGAUUCUGACUCAGGCAGUGACGCUGAAAGCGAACCAGAAAAAGCUGGUAGCCCAGCAAAGCUUGUGAAGGGUAUUGAAAUACCAGAACAACCUGCAGAGCAAGAAAAGAGUGAUGAUGUUAUUAGCCCUGUUGAUGCUAACAACACUACUGCUGAUGUGGAACUCCGUGAACUGGACAAUGAGUCCAAGGCUGCACCUGAGGACACUGCUGCUGAUGUGGAACUCGGUGAGCAGGACCACGAGUCGAAGGCUGCACCUGAGGGGGAGAAUGCAAAAUCUGACAGGCAAGUCUCCCCGGACAAGCUCUUACGAGCAGCUCUUUUGAGGGGCCGUUAUGCUGAUGUAAUUGUGAAAGCUCGUGGGAUUCUCUGCCAGGGUGGAGAUAAACAGGAAGAGCUGGAGAAACUGCAGAAGGAAGAGAAAGAACGGCUUUUGGCUGAAGGUAAUGCAGCCAUGGAAGCUCGCAGAGCUGAAGCAGAGGCUGAAUCUAAGCGUAAGCGGGACCUUGAGAGGGAAAAGGCUCGUCAGGCCUUGCAGGAGAUGGAGAGAACUGUAGAAAUUAAUGACAGCGUUGAUCCCAAGGACCUAGAAAUGCUUGGUACAGUCACCACAGAACAUAUUGUGAGUUCUGUCGAUGAAACGAGUCCAGAGCAUUCCCAGGAUGGCAUGCCCAGUUUUCUUCCUGGUUCUGGCAGCAUGUUGGAAAAACUUGGACUAUUUAUGAAAGUAGACGAGGAAGAAGAGGAAGAAGAGCCAUGCAGCAAAGAUGCGGAUGAAGGAGAAAUCAACUAA
rnacentral:rRNA from 1 species